UUGAACGCUGGCGGCAUGCUUUACACAUGCAAGUCGAACGGCAGCGGGGGCUUCGGAUGCUGACGAGUGGCGAACGGGUGAGUAAUACAUCGGAACGUGCCCAGUAAUGGGGGAUAGCUCGGCGAAAGCCGGAUUAAUACCGCAUACGCCCUGAGGGGGAAAGUGGGGGAUCGCAAGACCUCACGUUAUUGGAGCGGCCGAUGGCUGAUUAGCUAGUUGGUAGGGUAAAGGCCUACCAAGGCGACGAUCAGUAGCUGGUCUGAGAGGACGAUCAGCCACACUGGGACUGAGACACGGCCCAGACUCCUACGGGAGGCAGCAGGGGGGAAUUUUGGACAAUGGGGGAAACCCUGAUCCAGCAAUGCCGCGUGUGCGAAGAAGGCCUUCGGGUUGUAAAGCACUUUUGUCAGGGAAGAAAUCCUUUGGGCUAAUACCCUAGGGGGAUGACGGUACCUGAAGAAUAAGCACCGGCUAACUACGU
rnacentral:rRNA from 1 species